CUGCCUACGGGACGCAGCAGUGAGGAAUAUUGGUCAAUGGUCGGGAGACUGAACCAGCCAAGCCGCGUGAGGGAGGAAGGUACAGAGUAUCGUAAACCUCUUUUGUCAGGGAACAAAGGCGGGGACGUGUCCCCGGAUGAGUGUACCUGAAGAAAAAGCAUCGGCUAACUCCGUGCCAGCAGCCGCGGUAAUACGGAGGAUGCGAGCGUUAUCCGGAUUUAUUGGGUUUAAAGGGUGCGCCGGCGGGCUGUUAAGUCAGCGGUCAAAGCCCGGGGCUCAACCCCGGCCCGCCGUUGAAACCGGCG
rnacentral:rRNA from 1 species